rnacentral:misc_RNA from 1 species
CCGGAUGAAAGAGAGAAGCGAAAGAGCAUAUAAAACAGCUGGAGUGAGGUUAAGAGACGCGUGAGGCGUGUGCUAUGCUAAAGGGGAAGAGGUAGAAGAGCACGAAAUAAAAGGAAGGAAUAAAAAUAGGAGCGUGAGUAGCAGCGGAAAGCAGUGACAGGGGCAGAAAUCGAUGGUCCAGGAUGGCAAAGUUUUCCGUCUCCACUUUUCUUCCGCUUUGAAACGUUUGAGGAUUAUCGACCCCGCGAGCAACGUGCGAGUUCUCCAAUGGAAAACCCACUCAUUCACCGAACUCGCCCGAGAUAUCUCUUGCUUAUUACUACCGUGGAAGAAGAAAGAGUGGACGAAGAAGUAAGAAGAAAAGGAGAAGGACCCCGAAGAAAGUUCUGAUGGUCAGAAGGAGUAACUCGGUUGUCACGGAUUGCCAACGGCCAUUGAGACAUUUUAAUUUCCCCGAGGCGACGAGUUUCUUCGUUCUUUCUUGAAGCAUUCAGUUCCCCGUAAUUAAAACGAAAGUUAGAAUCAGUGUGAGUAUGUUAUAUCCAAUGAAUGGAAUUGAACAUCCCAGCCAAAGUUCGAUACUUUUAGUCUGCUUUUCACCGUCACACAAAGCCCGUAAUUACCUUGAUAAAUACAAAACUUUCUAAAUGCAAAACUAAUUAACGAAUUUCGGAUUGUUC